AUGAGGGUUGUGACUGGACACCACAUCGGUGAGGAUUGCGCUAUGCCACCUGUCCGUCCUUACCUGGGUGGGAGUACUGCAAAGCUAACGGUAGGUCAGACAGGUCUGGGAUCAUCUUUCGGCUGGAACAACCUUUAUUAUGGGCAUGAUCAGCUAAAGAUCACUGUCAUCUCACGAAUUGGAUUCGAACCAAUAUCAAAGACUUUACUUUAUUAG